UACGAAGGGGGCUAGCGUUGCUCGGAAUCACUGGGCGUAAAGCGCACGUAGGCGGAUUGUUAAGUCAGGGGUGAAAUCCUGGAGCUCAACUCCAGAACUGCCUUUGAUACUGGCGAUCUUGAGUCCGGGAGAGGUGAGUGGAACUGGCGAGUGUAGAGGUGAAAUUCGUAGAUAUCUGGAGGAAUACCGGUGGCGAAGGCGGCAUCCUGGACCGGCAUUGACGCUGAUGAGCGAAAGCUAGGGGAGCAAACGGG
rnacentral:rRNA from 1 species